rnacentral:rRNA from 1 species
CACGUAGGGCGCAAGCGUUGUCCGGAAUUAUUGGGCGUAGAGAGCUCGUAGGCGGUCUGUUGCGUCCGCUGUGAAAACUCGGGGCUUAACCCCGAGCCUGCAGUGGAUACGGGCAGACUAGAGGUAGGUAGGGGAGAAUGGAAUUCCUGGUGUAGCGGUGAAAUGCGCAGAUAUCAGGAAGAACACCCGUGGCGAAGGCGGUUCUCUGGGACGGUACUGACGCUGAGACGCGAAAGCGUGGGGAGCGAACAGG